rnacentral:siRNA from 1 species
CAUCUCCACGGCCACCACCACGGC